rnacentral:rRNA from 1 species
CCGGAAUCGCUAGUAAUCGCGGAUCAGAAUGCCGCGGUGAAUACGUUCCCGGGUCUUGUACACACCGCCCGUCACACCAUGGGAGUCGGAAAUGCCCGAAGCCGGUGACCCAACCCGAAAGGGAGGGAGCCGUCGAAGGCAGGUCGGAUGACUGGGGUGAAGUCGUAACAAGGUACC